rnacentral:tRNA from 1 species
GGGGCCGUAGUCUAGCCUGGCUAGGAUGCUCGGCUUGGGCUGCCACCGUGGGCAACACAAAAACGAAAAGCCCACGGUCACGAGAGCCCGAGUGAUCCCGGGUUCAAAUCCCGGCGGCCCCA